ensembl:lincRNA
GGGGAGUGCAGGACAGCGUGAAAAUAGACGGGACGGACCAAGGAGAGAACAGGUUUCACAGAGUCCUCUUCUGAGGACGGAAAUCUUAAAGGAGCACAUACAUGUGAAGGAGGAGAAAUCAUAAAAUAAAUUAAAUAAAAUUGACAAUGUAGAAUGAAGAGUUAGUUUUAUUAUGCAAAGGGAAGAAAAGACUUUGAGCAACUUGGUGGUCUACGGUAAUAACUCUUCGAGGAGGCUGAACGGAACACGCAUGAUCAGGAAGACAGCAGGACGCUGGGAAAGUCAUUUCUGCUUUUCAGUACCAGGCCAGCUGGAUCUCUGCAGCCCAUGUGAAUUUAAUCAGCUCACUCUUCCCAGAACCUAUGUGUGACAAUCACUGCUUGAGCUACAUCUGUCACCCAAAUCUGGUGAUGAUCAUUUCUCAUCAACGCAUCAAGAAAGGAACCACUCCGUGGACCCCCAAAGAGACUCAUUUUGUAAAAGGGUGCCUAAGAGAAAUGGUAUCUUUGAAAUGAAAUGCCUUGCAAACACUGUAAAGCUUUUCCAAAUUCCCUUAAGAAAUGUCCUUUCAAGGCUAAACCUAUGAGGUAGAUCUGUGACUUAGAUCUUAUCAGCUCUACCCUCAAUUAACAUUUCGGUUCUUUCAAAUAUUUCUUCUAAUAUCAAGCUUUUUUUCCAAAAUGUAACAGUAGGAUAGUACUUAAAACUAUCAUUUUGCUUUGUUCCCUUCCUUAUGGCCCAGGAAUCCAUUGACUCAGUUUUUAUCCUGAAAAGCAACCAAAGGUGAUUAGGAACCCUGCCUGUCUUAUUAUAAAACAUGGUAUCAAAUAAAGUAUCAUGAAGACCACAACAUGUCAAAAGCAGAGACGCAUCAAUUCUAAAGAUCUUUGAAGCUCUGAGAGUCUCUUGAAGAGAUGCAGAAUACAUACAAGACAGUAACAAUGGAUUGUUUCCAAAAGAACACAUGAAUAAGCUACUUGUGGUUUCUUGGAGACAUCUACUUAGUUGCUGAGGAAGUUCAAGGCCAUGAAGAGAGCUACAAGCAUUAGUAUGUUGCAUCAUAGAACAGAGCGAUGGUGGUGGUGGUGGGGGAGAUGGUGGGGGUUUACGGCAGGGGUUUCUUAGAAUCCAAGACAGAUGCAAAGCACAGGAGUUUAUGAAUCAUGUCAAAUGGUAUCAGCCAGACCCUAUUUUUCCAAAGUAUGAUCCACUACAAGUGAAAUACUAAUAGAUGCAGAAGUGGUAAACGUUCCGGCUGCUAUAGAGGAGGCGUUCAGUAACUGCUUGGUUAAAAAAAAAGCUCUAAGAAAUAAAUUACUGGAGUUGAGGAAAUUAAAGAGGGCUGGAGUAUGUAAAAUGAACGGAGCCUUACAAAGAUCUAAAGCAACUACUUACAAGCAAAUUUAUCUUGUAAGUGAUUCCAGAUAUGGAAACACUAGUUUUCAUAGCAGCUAAUCCACCAGAACCUGACAAGAACAUUUUCUUUCUUGUUUAGUUUAUAAAAAGGAAUCAUCAUCAAAGAAGAAGUACAUUCUCUAGGUGUUAGCUGCUAGAAAGCUAAAUAUUAAACUGUCCUGGGGGAAAGGGAUGUGGAGAAUAAAAGGAAAAAAAUAUGUUUUCUUCUCUUUUGAUUGGUUUGAGAAAUAUCUGUCUUUUCAAAUAAACAGACCAAGUCAGGAGAGAAACUAGAAAUGGUGAAUUUGCUAUUUAUUUUUCUGGCAGUGUUGACUUACUAAUGUUCAAAUAUCUGUGUUAAAGUCUCUGGAGGGCACCAUGCAUUUCAAUUAGUU